rnacentral:rRNA from 1 species
GCUCAGGAUGAACGCUAGCUACAGGCUUAACACAUGCAAGUCGAGGGGUAGCAGGGUAGCAAUACCGCUGACGACCGGCGCACGGGUGAGUAACACGUAUCCAACCUUCCCAUAACUCGGGGAUAGCCUUUCGAAAGAAAGAUUAAUACCCGAUAGUACUUUUUUAGGGCAUCUUAGAAAAGUUAAAGAUUUAUUGGUUAUGGAUGGGGAUGCGUUCCAUUAGAUAGUUGGUGAGGUAACGGCUCACCAAGUCUUCGAUGGAUAGGGGUUCUGAGAGGAAGGUCCCCCACAUUGGUACUGAGACACGGACCAAACUCCUACGGGAGGCAGCAGUGAGGAAUAUUGGUCAAUGGGCGAGAGCCUGAACCAGCCAAGU